UGAGGAAUAUUGGUCAAUGGGCGAGAGCCUGAACCAGCCAAGUAGCGUGCAGGAUGACGGCCCUAUGGGUUGUAAACUGCUUUUAUAUGGGAAUAAAGUGAGGGACGUGUCCCUUAUUGCAUGUACCAUAUGAAUAAGGACCGGCUAAUUCCGUGCCAGCAGCCGCGGUAAUACGGAAGGUCCAGGCGUUAUCCGGAUUUAUUGGGUUUAAAGGGAGCGUAGGCUGUUUGUUAAGCGUGUUGUGAAAUGUAAGAGCUCAACUUUUAGAUUGCAGCGCGAACUGGCAGACUUGAGUGCGCACAACGUAGGCGGAAUUCAUGGUGUAGCGGUGAAAUGCUUAGAUAUCAUGACGAACUCCGAUUGCGAAGGCAGCUUACGGGAGCGCAACUGACGCUAAAGCUCGAAGGUGUGGGUAUCGAACAGG
rnacentral:rRNA from 1 species